AGAAUUCUCAUUUCAAAAAUUUUAACAUCCCAAUGAAGUUUGCUCUUCAUUUUUGUCUAUAUUUACAGGAGGUUUGGUGAGCCAAUUGAUGUAAAACAGUAUACAAAAUGGUUCUAACAUCAAGAUAUAUCUCUAUUUUAUACACUUAAACUGUAAAAUCAUUUGUUCUAUAAUUAGGGCAUCUAGUGCAUAAUAAAUGAUUCUGUGACUCUUACUGGAGACUAGCCGGGACAUAAUUUUCUUGAAGCCAAAUUCUUUGGCAGCUGUGAAACUUCUUGAUGCAUUUUUCUGGUUUGGAAGCUGACGUUAGUCCCAAAUAAAAACAAAUACCCACUCAGAUCUUUAGUUAGUGAGAACUAGCAUGGGAGCAGCUUCUAGGGCUGUUUUUAAGGAAUGGAAAGGGGAGAAUGGCCAAAAACUAACCUAUCCUGCAUAAUCAUCGCUUGUAAUUUUGCCCACAACUUCAGUAGUUUGACGUAAAAGAUGUUCCAUUCUUUACCACUGAGUAAAGAAGUUAAAAAUGUUCCGUAAUUUCGAAUUCCUCUUUGUUCUAAGACUUUACUCUCACCUCCGGGUUCACAGCUAAGCUCCCCCAUGACUGAUACCGCUGAAAGUCUUGUUUCAACAAAACAUUCAUGUAUAUGUAAAAAAUAAAUCAUCUGACAAAUUGAGAAUUGCUCAAUUUGAAAAACAGAUUCAGUGAUAAAGACAGAGGUCAAUAUUAAACCUAUGAGUAAGGUAAAGAAAUGGGCGGGAAGAAAAAUAACCCCAAAUCGUUGACUUCCCAGAACCCAGAGGCUAAUAGGACUCUCACUUCCUGCUUGAGGUGAAAGCAAGCAAAGGCACCUCUGUUCCUAUCUUGUCUUGGUCAAAAGAUAAAUAUGAAUUAUUAUUCUUUUCUUUUUUCAUCAGUAAAGAACUUUCCAUCACCCUUUUGGCAACUUUCUGCACCAGCCACUUCCCCCUCAUAACUCCAGUCAACCGUUCUCACAUCUGAGAAAAAUAGGUGGAGGAUAUUUCCAGGAGCCUCUGUUGCUGAGGUUGCCCACAGUCAGGUAAAAGUGGGAGAAAUUUCUGAACCACCAAAAACCUGUUCCUGAGAGACAGAAGUAGAAAAAACUUACACAUAUUUUUAAAAAAGAGAAGUUGAGGUGUAGGGGGAUGGUGACUCUCAGUGGCUCAAUAUUGAGUGUCUUAGCUCAAUAACAUGUACUCUGGAACAUAUGUAGGUCUAUAGAAUUAUUUGGUUAUUUACAAAGAAGCAGUGAAAAGUAGUGAGGGGAAAACACUGCAAAGAACUUAUGUGGUACUCAUGCAACUCCUUAUUCAAAAUGUAAUUUUACAGAAUUAACUUCUGUACAAUUUGCUUUACUCAAGAGUAAAAUAUACUUUCAUAGCAAUUUUGUGAGACGGACUAUAACUGAAUAUUAUUCAAUUUUAAUAUA
rnacentral:lncRNA from 1 species